rnacentral:lncRNA from 1 species
CGUUCUUAUCAACGGGAUUUAUGACUCCGAUAUACGGCGUGAAACACUGGGCAUGCCUGAUGUGAUAAACAAACCCGUGAAUGAUGUGAUUGCGCUUGUUGAGAACAAAGAAAUGGCUCGCAUUGCUCUCCCGGUGUCGACCCUAUCGGCCAUGUCGUCAUUCCAGCGCUCUCUAAGAGCCCCGCAGUUGAGCGCUACCCCAGCCCCAGCAGACAAGGCGAGGCAGGCCUUAUGCCCAGACUGUAAGAGCGCCUUUAAGGUCUUCACAAAGGGGCCUCGUGGAUGGAAUACUAAACCUCACGGGGUGUGCAUUGACUGCUAUAGGGCACGCCGUCGUAAAAGGCGGGAGCAGCCGUCAUCUGCUGGUCUACACGCCGCUGUGGAAUCAGAGCCCAUAUCCCAGAUUUCUUCAAUCCAGUCUAGUGCCCGCCCUGUCCGGCGUUACAUGAACCGCCACCAACGUCGUCUCCCGAUGACUCACGGUGGUGUCAAUGAUCCUACGACCAUCAGGCUCGAGCACCAUAUUUUCUCUAAAGGCGAGUGGAAACGUACAAGGCUAAGAGACCACCCCCGAGUGCCCAUCACUAUCUCGAUUGACUGUAUGGUGGGCGUAAGAGGCAGCACCAGUGGCCGGGGCUCGGACAUUCAGGCGACAGUAUCCGCCAUCGCUGACACUGGUGCGCAGUCAGACCUUUGGUCACUGGAGGAGUUCCUGGCCUGUGGUUUCUCACGUGAUGAUCUGUGCCCCACUAGCCUGAGCCUGUCGGCCGCGAACCGUUCCCCUAUAGCCAUUGAAGGGGCAUUUUUUGCCAGGCUCUCGACGGUCCCCAGCAGCGGUGUAGUGACAUCCUGCCGCUCCAUGGUGUACGUGAGCAGCUCUGUUCGCACCAUGUACCUCUCCUACGAGUCACUGCUCAACCUUGGCCUCCUGCCCGUGAACUUUCCGUCCACAGACGGAAAGAGCCCUGUCACUCUUGGGAUGCCUCCUGAGCCCUUGUCCGUCAAUGCCACACGGUCCAACCGCAAGGAACCGGAGAGUUCUCAUCCUGCUCAGUGCUCGUGCCCCCAGCGUACAGCCCCACCAGCACGGCCCACGGGACUGCCGUUCCCUUGCACGCCGGAAUAUAAUGGCAGGAUGAAGGGUUGGCUGCUCGAGAGAUACGCCUCAUCUACAUUUAACACCUUCCCCCAUCGAGUGUUGCCAUGUAUGGAGGGGCCACCUGUCGAGAUACAUGUGGACCCAACAGCCCCACCCAAAGCAUGCCACACCGCAGCCACCGUGCCCCUACACUGGCAGCAGAUGAUCUCCUCCGGGACGAGGCCCUCGGUGUCAUU